rnacentral:rRNA from 1 species
UGGGGAAUAUUGCACAAUGGGCGCAAGCCUGAUGCAGCCAUGCCGCGUGUAUGAAGAAGGCCUUCGGGUUGUAAAGUACUUUCAGCGAGGAGGAAGGCGUUGUGGUUAAUAACCGCAACGAUUGACGUUACUCGCAGAAGAAGCACCGGCUAACUCCGUGCCAGCAGCCGCGGUAAUACGGAGGGUGCAAGCGUUAAUCGGAAUUACUGGGCGUAAAGCGCACGCAGGCGAUCUGUCAAGUCGGAUGUGAAAUCCCCGGGCUCAACCUGGGAACUGCAUCCGAAACUGGCAGGCUAGAGUCUUGUAGAGGGGGGUAGAAUUCCAGGUGUAGCGGUGAAAUGCGUAGAGAUCUGGAGGAAUACCGGUGGCGAAGGCGGCCCCCUGGACAAAGACUGACGCUCAGGUGCGAAAGCGUGGGGAGCAAACA